rnacentral:rRNA from 1 species
UGGGGAAUAUUGCACAAUGGGCGAAAGCCUGAUGCAGCGACGCCGCGUGAGGGAUGACGGCCUUCGGGUUGUAAACCUCUUUCAGCAGGGACGAAGCGCAAGUGACGGUACCUGCAGAAGAAGCACCGGCUAACUACGUGCCAGCAGCCGCGGUAAUACGUAGGGUGCAAGCGUUGGCCGGAAUUACUGGGCGUAAAGAGUUCGUAGGCGGUUUGUCGAGUCGUUUGUGAAAACCAGCAGCUCAACUGCUGGCUUGCAGGAGAUACGGGCAGACUUGAGUACUGCAGGGGAGACUGGAAUUCCUGGUGUAGCGGUGAAAUGAGCAGAUAUCAGGAGGAACACCGGUGGCGAAGGCGGGUCUCUGGGCAGUAACUGACGCUGAGGAACGAAAGCGUGGGUAGCGAACAGG